rnacentral:rRNA from 1 species
UGCAAGUCGAGCGAUGGAUUAAGAGCUUGCUCUUAUGAAGUUAGCGGCGGACGGGUGAGUAACACGUGGGUAACCUGCCCAUAAGACUGGGAUAACUCCGGGAAACCGGGGCUAAUACCGGAUAACAUUUUGAACCGCAUGGUUCGAAUGAAAGGCGGCUUCGGCUGUCACUUAUGGAUGGACCCGCGUCGCAUUAGCUAGUUGGUGAGGU